rnacentral:misc_RNA from 1 species
GAAGAAUAAUAAUAUAUAGAGUUUGUAAAAAUGGUGUUGAUGAAUUUAUUUGUAGAGUAGGAAUUGAGACGUAGAUAUAGAUAACGGAUAUGUGGGUUAGUGGGGGAAGGGGAGGGUGGAUAGAUAGAGUGUUUUAUUGAUAUAUAUAUAUUGUUGUGUGUAAAAUAGAUAGUUAUUGGAAAGUUGUUGUGUAGUAUAGGGAGUUUAAACGGGUGU